GUGAGAUGGAGAACUGGUGUGGCUGAUGGUGAGAUGGAGAACUGGUGUGGCUGAUGGUGAGAUGGAGAACUGGUGUGGCUGGAGGUAGGACGGAGAACUGGUGUGGCUGGUGGGGAGACAGAGAACUGGUGUGGCUGGAGGUGAGACGGAGAACUGGUGUGGCUGGAGGUGAGAAGGAGAACUGGUGUGGCUGGAGGUGAGACAGAAAACUGGUGUGGCUGGUGGGGAGACAGAACUGGUGUGGCUGGAGGUGAGACUGGUGUGGCUGGAGGUGAGACUGAACUGGUGUGGCUGGAGGUGAGACGGAGACCUGGUGUGGCUGGAGGUGAGACGGAGAACUGGUGUCUAUUAUCUAUACUUUACCCCUACCUACAGUAUACUGCUACUGUCUAUUAUAUAUCCUUUACCCCAUGAUACACAUGGGAAACUGUCAAGCGUGG
ensembl:lncRNA